rnacentral:rRNA from 2 species
UUAUGCGAUACUUGGUGUGAAUUGCAGAAUCCCGUGAACCAUCGAGUCUUUGAACGCAAGUUGCGCCCGAAGCCACUAGGCUGAGGGCACGUCUGCCUGGGUGUCA